rfam:Crassostrea gigas strain 05x7-T-G4-1.051#20 contig8744, whole genome shotgun sequence.
UGCCAGAUAGCUCAGUUGGUAGAGCACCUGACUAGAGAUUCAAAGGGCCUGAGUUCGAAUCCCGGUCUGGUCU